CUGUCGCCCAGGCUGGAGUGCAGUGGCGUGAUCUCAGCUCACUGCAACCUCUGCUGCCCGGAGUCAAGCGAUUCUCCUACCUCAGUCUCCCGAGUAACCAGUAAUUCAGGUCUAAUAAUAAGAGGAAGAACUCUCGCUAAAAGUGGACAGGCCAAAUUCUUUCAAAGCCAUUGAACUUCUACUAUAGGAUACCGCCUAUAGAACAUUCCUGGGCAGAAUCUCCAGGCAUCAUGUGAGGUGGGAGGUGGUGUUGGAAGAAGGCUUCUUACGCUUCAAAUUACAUCCCACCAUUGCUCAAGAAGACAUAUUUGUUGGACUAAUAAUAUUUUGUCUCUGUUAACAUUCAACACUUAAAUGAGUACUUAGGAACAUAUUGAAGAUGAAAAAAUGAAAUACCCUCUUGAGGCCCUAAAGGAGUUCACAGGGUAAUGCUUUUUUAUUUUUUUAUUUUUAAAAUUAUUUUAUUUUUUGUCUCACUUCUAUCACCCAGGCUGGAGUGCAAUGGCGUGAUCUUGGCUCACUGCAGCCUAAACUUCCCAAGCUCAGGUGAUCCUCCCACAUCAGCCUCCAAAAUAGCUGGGACUAUAGGAGCAUGACACCACGCCUGCUGAAUUUUUUUUAUUUAUUAUUUUUAGUAGAAGUGAGAUUUUGCCAUGUUGCCUGGAUUGGUUUCGAACUCUUGGGCUCAUGAUUGGCCCUCCUCAGCCUCCCAAAGGGCCAAGAUUACAGGCAUGAGCUGCCAUGCCCAUCUGGUAAUGCUUAUAAUCACAGCAAGACAUUAAAACCAGUGUCAGUCAUGAAUAAAUAGGUCAGGGUUAGAUUUCUAGGCUGUACAAGACUGAAUCUAUUUCAUUACACUGUUUUAUUUCUCUUGUAUCCCUUAUCACAAUCUGAACUUUUACAAAAUUAGCCAAACUUCCUAUUAUCUGCUCCCGCCAUUAGAGUGUGGCACUGCAAGAGCUAGGAGUUGCCCGUUCAUCACUGUAUCUCCAAAGCAUAAGAGGGUGCCUGGUACAAAGUAAAUGCUUGAUAAUCUAUUUGAUAAAUGAAUGAAUAAGUGAAUAAAUGAAAUAAAUGAAUGACAGGGUGGAAAAGUGCUACUGUCUGCACAUAUGGACUCACUCUCUGGGGAAGUCAAGGCUGGAUGGAGAUCAAGUUUGCUCACAGAGCAGGGUGAGAAUUUUGGGAGUCCAGGGGCCUAACUGAUGGGGAAGGUGAGAGAAUUGUUCUAAAAAAAAAUUUGAGAGUGGAAAAGGAAAAGCCACCGUCACAGUUUUGCCUUAUAGCCAGUGCUAGAAGUUUGGCCUGGUUACAUGGUUAACCCUAAAGAAUUAUCUAGAACCACCUCCUUAGCACUAUCUGAAAGUUCACAUCUUCUGACUGAGGGCACAGAAAACCUCUGGCUGUAGAGUAUCAAGCAGGGAAAAUUUAUUUUUUUAGGGGUGACAGGAAAAGUAUUCCAUGACGCUCUGUGAUAUUUCUGGAUAUUUCAGACACUAUGUGGUUUCUUGAAUGUCCUACGUACAUUUUGAUGGAUUACCCAAGGACUAUCUGAUGAAGAAUAAUAGAGACAUAUAAAUACAUAUGGGCUACAUCUUGGCAAAAUAAAGUAAUCCUGAAGUAAAUUCUAAGGAUGUUCUGAAUUGACACCUCUUAAGCACAACCGAAUGUCCUGGUGGCUUUGCCUCCCACUGGGGCUUUUUGGCUCUUGUUUGGCCCCAGCGGCUGCUGCAGCUCUGUCUGAAUUCACACAGGAGCAACAUGAUGGUGCUCAGCCCUCGCCGAAGUGUCUUGCUGAAGAGUUGGGAGAUGCUUGGACUAUUCAGAUAGAAGCCAGCUGGAAGUACAGGGCAGUCAACACAAACCAGAGAGGCAAACUUUUGGCCAGUGAGACAUGGAAAGGGAGAAGAAAUACAUUCUUCUUUCUCCCCUAGAGUGAGGACCAACCUGAGUCCCAGUCACCUGGAAUCCCCUCAGACGAGCGUCCCUUGAGAUCCAGCACAUGGCAGCCAGCGUGCUGACGAUUCCUUCCUGCCUACUGGCUCCUUCUUAUUUCUGCCUCCGUGGAACUGUAUUCUCUAAUCAAUAUUAGCACAUACAUAUUGCCCCAGACUGUACCUCCUGGGAACCCAGGAUAAAGCACUAUCUAAACAUUUUGUCUUGGAAUUGUAAUAAACUUCAAAAGAAAAAUACAACUUGAAAGUUAAAUAUUUAUUGUGUGCACUUCUUUUCUUCAUGUUUACACCAAAUCAUAUAAAGGUCAACUACUUUCAGGACUCUGUGAAGUUUCCAUUGAAAUACAGUCCAAAUUUCUGCCAUCAGAAGUGUUCCCAUGGCUGGGCACACUGGUUCACAUCUUU
rnacentral:lncRNA from 10 species